UGGGGAAUUUUGGACAAUGGGCGCAAGCCUGAUCCAGCCAUACCGCGUGAGUGAAGAAGGCCUUCGGGUUGUAAAGCUCUUUCAGACGGAAAGAAACGGUUACGGCUAAUACCCGUGACUAAUGACGGUACCGUAAGAAGAAGCACCGGCUAACUACGUGCCAGCAGCCGCGGUAAUACGUAGGGACCAAGCGUUGUUCGGAUUUACUGGGCGUAAAGGGCGCGUAGGCGGCAUGACAAGUCACUUGUGAAAUCUCUGGGCUUAACCCAGAACGGCCAAGUGAUACUGUCGCGCUAGAGUGCAGAAGGGGCAAUCGGAAUUCUUGGUGUAGCGGUGAAAUGCGUAGAUAUCAAGAGGAACACCUGAGGUGAAGACGGGUUGCUGGGCUGACACUGACGCUGAGGCGCGAAAGCCAGGGGAGCAAACGGGAUUAGAUACCCGUGUAGUCCCUGAGCGGGCUGGCAAGGCGCAU
rnacentral:rRNA from 1 species